GCCAAACAGCUAGCUCAAUUACCCAAUAACUAAACAAUAUAAAUAAAACAAAAUAAGCCUAACACCAAAAAUUAAAUCAUUCUUUUACCUUAGUAUGGGCGACAGAAAAGGUUACACCUGGAGCAAUAGAAAAAGUACCGCAAGGGAAAGCUGAAAGAGAAAUGAAAUAACUUAUAUAAGCACCAAAAAGCAAAGAUUAAAUCUUGUACCUUUCGCAUCAUGAUUUAGCCAGUAUAUCCAAGCAAAGAGACCUUUAGUUUGAAACCCCGAAACCAAGUGAGCUACCCCGAGACAGCCUAUUAAGGGCCAACCCGUCUCUGUGGCAAAAGAGUGGGAAGAGCUCCGGGUAGAGGUGACAGACCUACCGAACUUGGUGAUAGCUGGUUGCCUAAGAAGUGAAUAGAAGUUCAGCCUCGUACUCCCUGAAUCAAAAGAUAUAAAAAGAUAUUAGAGGGAAAUAUAUGAGAGUUAGUUAAAGGGGGUACAGCCCCUUUAACAAAGGACACAACCUUUCCAGGAGGAUAAAGAUCAUAAUACAUAAGACAUCCUGUUCUAGUGGGCCUAAAGGCAGCCAUCUAAACAGAAAGCGUUAAAGCUCAGACAGAAAUAAGUUUAUUAUUCCGACAAGAAAUCUUACUCCCCUAAAUAUUAUUAGGCCAGCCCAUGCCCACAUGGGAGAGACUAUGCUAAAAUGAGUAACAAGAAGGCCAGCCCUUCUCCAAGCACAAGUGUAAGCCAAACCGGACUGACCAUUGGCAAUUAACGAACUCAACCCGAGAGAGUAAUGUGUAUUACAACGAAACCAGGAAGAACCCACAAUUAACCCAUCGUUACCCCCACACUGGCGUGCUAUUAAAGGAAAGACUAAAAGAAGGGAAAGGAACUCGGCAAACACAAGCCUCGCCUGUUUACCAAAAACAUCGCCUCCUGCAACACAACCAAGUAUAGGAGGUCCAGCCUGCCCAGUGACUACAAGUUCAACGGCCGCGGUAUUUUGACCGUGCAAAGGUAGCGCAAUCACUUGUCUCUUAAAUGGAGACCUGUAUGAAUGGCUAAACGAGGGCUUAACUGUCUCCCCCCUCCAGUCAGUGAAAUUGAUCUACCCGUGCAGAAGCGGG
rnacentral:rRNA from 1 species